AAUUGUCACAGAGCUGUAUUCAGAAAUGGCUCAACUAAAUAACUUACUAUACAUAGUGAGAUACACACCACUGAUUCUCACUCUAGUUACAGGCAGUUUUGCAGAUAAAAUUGGACCAAAGGAUGAAGAUGCCAACAUUUCUGGGAGAGAAACAGACACUGUUACUCUGAAAUGUUCAUAUGAGACAAACAGUGAUUAUGUUUGGCUUUAUUGGUACAAGCAAUAUCCUAACAGCUCACCACAGUUUUUACUGUGUAAAGGCGCAAGGUCAUAUUCUGGAGAGCACAAACCUACUGACACUCGAUUAGAGACAAGAACAAGCAGAGACUCUACUGAACUUACUAUCAGAGGUCUAAAGCUCUCAGAUUCUGCUCUCUUUCUUUGUGCUCUUAGAGAUGUAACACAGUGAUACAGAGUCAGUGAAAGGCUUUACAAAAACUUAUAAAACCACAACAAAGAUCCUCCCUUUACCAACCUGUUAUCAGUUAACCACAGACACAAACGAUAA